AUUCGAUGAAGGUGAAUCAGAUUUAAAAACAUUUUUCAAGUUUCAUCCCUCUUGUACUGUGUUUAUUCGAAAACAGGGAAUUUAAAACUGAGGGCAGGAAUUGUACAAGAAAAAUUAGUUGUGAUUUGUGUUACUAGUUUGGCCCCAAAAAUGGGCAAAAAUAUUGCUUUGUUAUCCAAAGUAAAAGCAGGUGUUUGUAAAUGUUGAUUCCACACAAAGACAAGGGUUCUUUCAUGGAGGACUACGAAAAUGUGAGAAUAUUAGACUCAUGGUCUCGAAAUGAUGAUUGUAUUUUAUUGGACUACAAGUUACAAUGGUUUUCAUAGUUUGGCUGGUCCUGUGCGAAUACUCGGGUGCGACUUGUAUCUAUUAAAAUUAGAGCACCCAGAAUCGCCCAUUCCCAAAUGGUGUCAACUUUAUGUGCAUUAACGCCAAUUUCUUUCCACCAGCGGUAAUGCACCAAAAGCAUUUGCCAACUACUAAUGCAGCAGUGGCCACCUUCCCAGGUUCUUUACAGAAAAAAGUCAGGAAACAAAUAAUAACACUAGUAAUGAAAUAAAUAAUAACUAAAUAACCCUCUCUGAGUUCUUCACAGAAAAAAUAGGAAAUAAGUACUGACUAAAUAACUCUCUCUGGGUUCUUCAUAGAAAAAAAAGCCAUGGAACAUUAACUUUCUGUUGUGCCAUGCACAAUCUUAACAGAUAAAAGUUCAGCUCAGUUGUCAGAACAGAAUCUCUCUGACGCAUAUGAGCAGUCUCUUAAGGUUUUUGACCCAAGGACAACAGGAGGGUUAGAGGGUCGGGCCAAAUGUGCUGACGGGCCGUAUCCGGCCCAUGGGCUGUAGUUUGGAGACCCCUGACUUAAAGCUUUAAUCAUAAAACCUUAUACCGUAAUUAACAUCAUCAACAUUGCCUUCUGGGAGAGGUGAAGUGGAUUGUGUUGGUGGCGUAGAAGGCAGCUCUCAAUUGACUUGGAGGCUUUUGUUUCACUCGGGAAGCUGCUGCUGGAGGCGCUGGCGGUGUAGCUGAGGUUUUAAAUUGUAGAAAAAAAUGGUGAUGAGUAGCUCUAUGACAUUUAUCUUGUCUUCUUUUCAGUUGAAAUCAAUUUAAGGUUUCUUUAUUUAUCAGACAAUGGUCUUUUUUUAUUGAAGAAAAAAACUCUAACCAAGCUAACAGUUUCGGCUGUCUCUUCAGGCCUUCGCCUGAGCUGUCAGUGUCAUGGCUUCCUUGUGAUACGUAAAAAAAACAAAAAAAACAGGAAACCUUCAAAAUUAUUUUAGCCGGUCAAGGCUGCGACCCAACUCCCCGCUGCCGCCGUUAUAGCAAUGUGGCCCGAUGAGCGGCCUCACACGCUCCCACACAGCUGGGACGCAUUGCUUCGGCAGCGCAUUGCUUCGGCAGCUGGGGUUGGAGCGCAGCUCAACUCAUCAAAAAAAAGUUUUCGCUAAAACAAAAAAAAAGUUACAGCCAAUCAGCUUAUGGGAUAAAUCCACUCGUGCUCUCAUCGGUCGAUGUCGUGCCGGGAACUAAUCACGCGCCUUGUUUGAGUGGGCAUGUACAAAGCCUCUGAGUCACGUCAGCUCUUUGUUCGACAUGCAGGGAAACCUCUCUCGCACAUCAACAUGAAACAAUGUCUUUCUGUAAUAUGGGCACCGAUAUGGCUGUAUUUUUAAUUUUUGGUAGAAAAAAAACGCGAAACACUGAAACCGCAAAACUUGAAACGGAAACUGACGAAGGAUCACUGUAUUUUUCUUGAGGGCAUGAAGGGUGAAGUUGGGGGGCAGUGUGGAAAAAAAAUAAUCUUUAUCGGGGCCAGAUUUUGGUCAGAAGUGGGUCUCACUACACCAGGGGUCGGCAACCCACCCAAAGAGCCAUAUCGGGCAAAAAACAAAACAAAUGUUUCUGGAGCCGCAAAAAAAAUAAAAGCCUUCUAUAAAACUUAUAAUGAAGGAAACACAUGCUCUAUGUAUGUCGGAGACUGGACUGUCUCAGAAUUGUUUGUUAUUCAUUCCUUUGUUGUGUGUUCACAAACGCCCCCAUAGAAUUUAUUUUCUGAUUUCCUCGCUUGAUUUUUUGUUUUGGUGCAUUAUUUAUUAUUUAUUAUUAUUAUUUAAUUAUAUUUUCACUUUUCUUAGAGUCAGUGUAGUGAUCAUGAAUUUCCGUUUUUCGGAGGCUGUCUUUGAACGCCUCUCGGGUCAAACGAGAGGAGAAAAGGCACAGAGUCGGACGCAGACGUGUCUGUGUUUGUCGAGACUGUUAAAAGCAUAAAUAAAGUGUUUUAAUAAAUCAACACCACAGCUCUCCUUUUUCGGAGCUGCAACAUGUAUAUAUAUCUAUUUGAGCUAUAUUAGCCUACUAUCAAAAUCUUUUUCCAUUUUCAAACAUUUUUUAUAAAGCUCCAGGGAGCCACUAGAUGUCGCUAAAGAGCCACAUGCGGCUCUGGAGCUGCGUGUUGCCGACCCCCGGGCUAUACCAUUGAAAUAAAAUAAAUACAUAACAUUAAAACAAAUAUAUCGUUCAAUAGCAACCUCUUACUUUUCAUAAUACUUUUACACAUGAGAAAAUUAUGUAGUCCGGUGGUUAGCACGUCGACUUCACAGUGCAGAGGUACCAGGUUCAAUUCCAGCUCCGGCCUCCCUGUGUGGAGUUUGCAUGUUCUCCCCGGGCCUGCAUGGGUUUUCUCCGGGUACUCCGGUUUCCUCCCACAUUCCAAAAACAUGCAUGGCAGGCUGAUUGAACGCUCUAAAUUGUCCCUAGGUGUGAAUGUGAGCAUGGAUGGUUGUUCGUCUCUGUGUGCCCUGCGAUUGGCUGGCAACCAAUUCAGGGUGUCCCCCGCCUACUGCCCGAAGACAGCUAGGAUAGGCUCCAGCACCCCCCGCGACCCUAGUGAGGAUAAAGCGGUUCGGAAAAUGGAUGGAUGGAUGAGAAAAUUACUUUUCAUAUGGAAGUGCAUUUAAUGUCAGGUAUGUUAAGGCUUUUACUGAAGUAAUAUUUGACGAGGUGACUUUCACUUUUCUUUGAUACUUCUACUCUUGCAAUGUUUUCAGGUACUUUGUACAUGACUUUCAAUUACUUCGUGAGGGAAUUGAUCAAUUACUUUUCUCUUGUUUUUAAUUUGCGUGUGGUUAUGCUAUGGAUCUUAUUUUUAAGCAAUGUGGAAGGCAGAAAGGCCACUUGUCAGAAAACAAUUACACACUUACAGUGAUAAUUUUACAGUUUACCACCAGCGAGUCCCAGGGACUCGCUGAUCAGAAAAGUACGAGUCCCAUUAUGCUUUUCGGGAGUCCCAAAUUUCGAAUUCUGAAAUGGUCUACUUAUUCAAUUCAUAUCAUGUGAUAAUAACACAAACAACAACAUACAAUUACAAAUAAACGUUGCAAAAUUUUAAAUAAUUCAGUAGCAGGCCUGAGGAUUUCGGAAAUUUACGGUAAUCGUUUUUCGGUUUCAUUGGAUUACCCAAUGGGAAACCACGGUAACUAAUUUUGGGUUCCGUAAACGUCUAUCAUGGAAACCCAUUUUUCUAUUUUGACUGAUAUUCAUAAUCAAGAAUUCUGAAACUCAAAAGUAUAAUGCUUCAAGGGUAAAUGUUAGAAAACUAUCCAUGAACAAUGAACAUUCCAUCAGUAGCUGUGGACUCCAGGUUUAUUCAAUAAAAUAAAUGGAUCAAAAUAUGUUGUACUCAUAUGGCAUCGUGAAUACAACAUACCACAAAAUCAGAGUAUUUUUUCCAAUCUCACACUGCAAAGAUUAAUUUACUGGUAAUCAUUAAUACAGGUAAGUAUUGAUGUGGCUUGACAUC